UGUGAAGUAAGAGGAAUAAAGAAUAUUUUGGAGGAGAUUUCAUAGCUGUACCCUGCACUCUCAGGCCACACCUAUGUUGUCAAAUCUGAUUUAGGACUGACUCAAGAUGUCAACAUGCCACAGCAAAGAGGUACAACAGGAGGAAGAAAAGUGCCAGGAGUGGAAGUCCGCAUUUCUACAAAUGGACCCUAAAAGGAAAUAGUCACAGGGUGUAUCAGCCAGAGAUCACAGGGACAGUGCGUCUGUGUGUGUUUGUUUGUGUGUGUGUGUGUGUGUGUGUGUGUGUGUGUGUGUGUUUGUCACACAUGGACCACAUGCUGGUGUCCAGCCUAGAGGGCAUCGCAGAGUUCUGCCAGAACAAGUUGUGUUACUUCUGCUACCACACACAUUGUAAGUGAAAAGGUCACAGAGCUGUCCCUGGAGGAAUGGCCAGGAGACCCUGUGUUGUUCAUAGACUGACAGUGUGUCCCAGAUCCAUACCAUACACUAACACCAAUAAGUAUAUAUGCUUUUGACAUUUGUAUACAAGAAACAAAUGUGUCCUAACACCACAUUAAUGUGUCUGUAGACAUCUGAAAAUGUACUUUUUUUUAAAACUUAUUUUCUGUUUUGUGACCUGUGACAGGCUAAAAACUGAUUUCAUUGCUGUUGCACUACUGUCCACCAUUUUUUUUCACUUUUUCCCAUGUGAUGUCGCCUGAGGAAAAGAACUGUGAUUGACACACAUUGCAAGCCUUUUCUUCAUCUGUUUGUUAGUGCCUGUACUUGU